rnacentral:rRNA from 1 species
AUUGAACGCUGGCGGAAUGCUUUACACAUGCAAGUCGAACGGUAGAGGGGGCAACCCCUUGAGAGUGGCGAACGGGUGAGUAAUAUAUCGGAACGUGCCCAGUCGUGGGGGAUAACGUAGCGAAAGUUACGCUAAUACCGCAUACGAUCUAAGGAUGAAAGCGGGGGACUCGCAAGAGCCUCGCGCGAUUGGAGCGGCCGAUAUCAGAUUAGGUAGUUGGUGGGGUAAAGGCUCACCAAGCCAACGAUCUGUAGCUGGUCUGAGAGGACGACCAGCCACACUGGAACUGAGACACGGUCCAGACUCCUACGGGAGGCAGCAGUGGGGAAUUUUGGACAAUGGACGCAAGUCUGAUCCAGCCAUUCCGCGUGCAGGAUGAAGGCCUCGGGUUGUAAACUGCUUUGUACGGAACGAAAAGGUUUGUCUUAAUACGAUGAGCUCAUGACGGUACCGUAAGAAUAAGCACCGGCUAACUACGUG